UUAAUGGGUCAAUACCUUCUUGCUUUGUUAACAUGUUGUUUUGGAGAGAAGGAAAUGGUGAUUUGUACGGUUCCGGACUUUAUAUAUAUUUUCAGCUUGGAGGUCUUCAUUCAAUUGGUACAUACUACAACUCCACUCUUGACUUGUGGCUAUUUGGAGAUGAUUAUAUAACAUUGCCUCAACGAGCACGAGUACAAUUUGUGACAAAGAACCGAUAUGAAUUCUACAAUGGUAGCAAUCUUAACUACAUGUCUGGAAUCGAUUUAUCAUACAACGAAUUGACCGGAGAAAUCCCAUCAGAAAUUGGAGAGCUUCCAAAAGUUCGCGCAUUAAAUUUGUCUGGUAAUUCCUUGUCGGGAUCUAUACCGGGGAGCUUUUCCAAUCUAAAAAUGAUGGAGAGUCUAGACCUUUCUGACAAUGAAUUAAGUGGCCAAAUUCCUAUGCAACUCACUGAGCUAAAUGCCUUAUCUGACUUCAACGUGUCAUACAACAACUUGUUCGGCCCAAUCCCAGAUAAAGGCCAAUUUGCCACGUUUGAUGAAAGCAGCUAUAGAGGUAAUUCAGAUCUUUGUGGUCCGCUAUUAAACAAGAGUUGCAGCAAUAUGUUACCGCCGACAGUGUUACCACCAAAUGAUGCUGAACAAGAUGAAUCUGCAAUUGAUAUGGAUGCAUUAUAUUGGAGUUUUAUCGGUUCCUAUGUCACAGUAGUGUUGGGGCUGUUGGUGACUCUUUGGAUAAACUCGUAUUGGCGAAGACAAUGGUUUUAUUUAAUUGAUGGAUGUAUCGAUUCAUGUUACUAUUGGCUUUUCAAAUAUGUAUUCCGUCAGUAAUCGAGUUAAGCCAUUGUAGAAUUAAUGCAGUCGGUCAACUCUGCCGCGACGCAUUUAUACUUGAUGUGUUGAUCCACGUUUCCAUUCGCUUUUCAAAUUUCUCUUCUGCAGUUUUUGAUUGGUUGAUCAGAAAAUGUAGGUUAAUUUUUAUGAAAUUACGGAACCAAAAAAAAAAAAAAAGAUUGCUACCAAUAUUUGUACGCAUUAUGAAAGUGAGUUCAAAGGGCCAUAUUAGCACUACUUUUAGAAAACCAUUAGCAGUUUAAUGAUGUGACAUUUAAUUUCUCAUUCACUACUGGUGUCAAUAUUAAUAAAUAAAUCGUGAGAUAUUAAGGUUAACAAUUACCGUCAUCUUCAAUGAUUAUUAGUAACACAUUACUUUAAAUAUAAACUUUGUAUCUCAUCUUUUAUGUAUAGAAAAGGAAAUUUGAUUUGCCCAUGCAUUGAGUUAAUAAUUAAGUUGUUUUAUUUCAAAAUCUGGCUUAAAUUGUGUGGCUCCUCAGCCAAUUAAAUUUGACUAUAAAUGUAGAGUUUCCAGGUCAGUUGCCAAAGUUUGGAGUCCAGCCCAUUAUUCAGUCAAUUUCGCUUGCUUAUGUCUCGAUCCAAAAAUGUCAAUUUGAAUUGUAUUUUUGGAAAGAGCGUAAAAGACAAACAGGCAAUGGACUUCAAAUUGCACAGCUCCUUCGACUUUUCACGCCGUGAUUUAUGACUUUCUCUAAGAUUAUCAGAAAAUUUUAAAUAUCGAAUGAACUCCCAAGUAAGAUAUUUCUUUUCAGUUGAGUGAUAGUUAUUUCAGUCAAUCAAAUUAUUGCAAUCCCACCAUGGAUGUGAUGAGAUUUUUGUUUAGAAAUAUCCUUCCGUCAUUACAUGAAAUACUCACAUUAAAUAUAUGUGAUUUAUGAGUGGUGAAGCUGCAGAUUGAGAACAAAGUACAAACUAUGAAAGGUUGGCUUCCAAUGGAAACUUCCAUUGUCAAGUUCUCAGUGUCGCUGACUUUUCUAGCUUUGAUUCAAAUGCAUGGAUACCAAGGGUGCCUGGAGAAAGAGAGGAUUGGUCUGCUGCAACUCAAGAGCUUCUUUAUAUCAAUCAGUGAUAGUGAAAAUAAGUAUAAUAUUCCUAAUUCAUGGGUUGAUGAUGAUCCGAUGUCUGAUUGUUGUGAUUGGGAGCGAGUUAAGUGCAACGCCACCACGCGACGAGUGACGCAACUCUCUCUCGAUAGUUUACCGCAAAACAAAUAUAAUGACUUCAUUGAUGGAUCUCCGCUUCUGAAUAUGUCAUUGCUUCUUCCUUUUGAAGAACUUCAAAGCCUUGACUUGUCUUUCAAUUUGUUUGAAGGUGUCUACAAGGAUAAAGGUGUGUUCAUUUCCUGUUUGAUUUUUGGUAGUCUCCACAUUCAAUCCUGAAAGGAAAAUUGACAAUUAAAUUAACCAAUUAAUUUCACCUGCGUGCCUUGAUUAGCAGCUUAUGAUAGUUUUGGGAGUUUGAAGCAAUUGAAGAUGUUAAAUCUCGGUUAUAAUCUCUUCAACGACAGCAUACUACCAUAUUUGAAUACACUUACUUCACUUACAACUUUGAUUCUCGGUGGCAAUAACAUUGACGGUUCUAGAACCAAGCAAGGUACAACAUCUCCAUAUAUGCAAAUCUUAAUCAAUCUAUAUCUAAUUUUCAAAAUCCAAUAUUGUCCUUUCCAAAAACUUUUAUUUUGGGUGCAGGAUUAGUAAAUCUGAGGAACCUGCAAGUGUUGGAUCUAACUGGUAACAGAAUAAGCGCUGGUUCGGUAACAAGGCUAGGUAAGCUACUUUAGGAGCAGACAAGCAAUGAUAUCAAGCGUACUACUAAUCACCACUUUCUUACCUUCUGUUUUUCCGUCUAUUUGUGGGACUUACUGUGCAGGAAUAGCGAAUUUGACAAAUUUAGAAGCUUUGGAUAUAAGGGGUAACAGAAUAAAUGGCUCUGUAACAAGGCUAGGUAAGCAACUGUGAUGACAGAGCAGCAAUGUUAUUAACUAAGCAUACUGAUCACAGCUUUUUACAACAGCUCUCACACUAAUUUUCAAGUACUGAUUCCUUUUUCUUGGUGUAGAACUGGGAAAUUUGAGAAAGUUGAAAAGAUUGGGUCUAGGUGGUAAUCUGAUAAGCGGCUUUCCAACGAGUCAAGGUGACUGUUUUAUUUCCUAGUUUCCAUUUAUUUUUGUGGAAUGGAAAGCAAAUCAUCUUUGUUGUCAACUUAAUUUUCUGAUUAGAGUAGAUAAAAUGCUAAGAAUUUGGAGAUUUAAUGAUUUUUGGUGUGAAUUGAUAGAGCAUAUACAAUCUAGUCAUUAUUGACUAUCGCUUCGAAUUUUGAUCUAUUAAUUGCAUCUAUCCACUUAAGAUUUGAUAAGGCUUAUUUCAAACUUGAAGGAAUGUUUUUUUUUUUUGGGGGGGGUUUAAAUCUUCUUAGUUUUGAACCUGUGAUCAUGGGGUGAGUUGGCAUUGGUCGUUCUUAGGUUGCAAGCUGGGUUAGUAGUUUGAUACAUAAGCUGGUUCUGUUUGAGUUCAUAGUACCUACUCUGUUUCAUCAUAUGUUGCUCAAGGAUUUCUAGAUUUAUGCUUGGUAAAUGAGAAUCUUGAGAAUUUAAUUGAAGGUUGGUUUCAGGCUCUGAGUGUACUGAGCAUGAUCUGUUUUGUUGUGAGAAAAUGUUUAGGUUAAAUGUAAAUUCAACGGUUGGAUUUUAUCAGUUUAUGAGAGGCUCUGCAAAUUUUUCGUGAUCUUUUGGUACAUCUGCUUCCCCUCUUCUAGCACCCAAAAUCUUCUUCUUCUUAUUCCAACCUCCUUAGCAUCUAAUUAUUCAAGUCUUUGUUUACAUGUUUGGUAGGAAGCUGUUUCUUUUCACUCCUCUAUAGUUAAUUACUUGUUUAAUUAUCUUUUCCUUGUUGCAGGAUUAGAAAACUUGAGAAACCUGGAAGUUCUGCAACUAAGUGAAAUUAGAAUGAGCGGAUCUGCAUCAAGAUUAGGUAACAAUUGCAUUUACAGAGAGUUGUUUACCCUUUAAAAAUUACGGUUUCUAAGACCAUUUCAUUUUUCUUAAUGCAGGAUUAGCAAAAUUUAAAAACUUAAAAGCAUUGGAUCUGAGCUAUACUGGUAUAAAUGGUUCUCUGGAAAAUCAAGGUAAAAUAAUUAAAAAAUAAACUUCGAUAACUUAUUUCUAAUAUGACCGAAUAAACAAACUUAAGAUAUAGAAUUGUCUUUUCUUUCCUCCCCUUAUAUACGGGUAGAAAUGCCAUACCGAAUAACACUUAAUAGAGUUCAAAAAUGCUCCAUCCCAGCACCAUAAAAGAAAAUAAAAAUACUCUUAAACAUUUGUGUCGAUCUCUUCUGACUAAUUGUAUACCCUUUUUCUUGAAAAUUUUCAGGAAUAUGUGAGUUGAAAAAUCUUAUUGAGUUGAAUCUUGAAGGAAAUGCUAUUGGGGGUCCUCUUCCCCAGUGUCUCAAAAACUUAACCCGCCUCAAAGUAUUUGGUAUUUCUUCCAAUCAGUUAAGUGGGAGCCUACCUUCUGUUAUCGCGAGCCUCACAUCACUCCAAUAUUUGGAUCUCUCUGACAACUACUUUCAAGGCAUAUUCUAUCUCAGUUCACUGGGUAAUCAUUCAAAUCUUGAGUUCUUCAUGCUCUCAUUAGUAAACAAUACGUUAGAAGUGGAAACUGAAAAUUGGCUUCCUACAUCCCAAUUGAAGGUCCUUCAUUUACGCAAUUGCAACCUAAAUGGAACCCUUGGUUUUCUUCUAAAACAGCAUGACUUAAAAUCCCUUGACCUCUCACAUAAUAAGUUGGUUGGCAGUUUUCCUGCUUGGUUGCUACAGCAUAACACAAAAUUAGAGGUUUUGCGUUUGACAAACAACUCAUUCACAGGAAGUCUCCAACUGUCCAAUUCCAAACUUGAUUUCCUUCAUCAUCUAGAUAUUUCUAGCAACAGUUUCACCGGUAGGCUCCCCCAGAAUAUGAGUACCAUAUUGCAAAAAUUGGUGUACCUAGAUAUGUCAAAAAAUAAAUUUGAAGGUAGUAUUUCUUCUUCAAUUAGUGAGAUGAAAGACCUUCGUUUUCUGGAUUUGUCUAGAAAUCAGUUUUCAGGAGAAUUGUCUGCGCCACUUCUCACUGGUUGCUUCUCGCUAUGGUUGUUGGACCUGUCGCAUAACAGUUUCUGUGGGCAAGUAUCUCCUAAGUUUAUGAACUUGACUCAAUUGGGUUGGUUAUCUUUAGACAACAAUAAUUUCAGUGGCAGAAUUUCGAACGGGUUUUUGAGCUCCGCUAGGUCAUUGCAAGUGUUAGAUAUAUCCAACAACAAGUUAGUUGGGCAGAUUCCUAGUUGGAUAGGUAACUUUUCAAGUCUUGCGCUUCUUACAGUGUCAAAAAAUCUUUUGGAAGGUAAUAUUCCGGUCCAACUCAAAAAUCUUGAAGCACUUGAAAUUUUAGAUGUCUCUGAAAAUAAUUUGUCUGGGUCCGUUAUAUAUCCCUUCAAUCCUUCAUCGUCAGUGAAGCACCUUUAUAUGCAGAAGAAUUCUCUGUGUGGAUCAAUCCCACAGGCAUUCUUUAGUAGCUCCAAGUUGAUGACAUUAGAUUUAGGGGAUAAUAAAUUUUCUGGUAGUAUUCCUCAUCAGAUCAAUGGGCAUUCGGAGCUGCGUGUUCUUAUAUUGAGAGGGAAUUGUCUGCAAGGUCAUAUUCCUAAUCAACUGUGUAAAAUAGGAAAAUUAGGUAUCAUGGACCUUUCACAUAACAGACUUAAUGGGUCAAUACCUUCAUGUUUUGCUAAUGUGUCGCACUGGAGAGCAGGAAAUGAUGAUCUUUAUGGAUCUGAACUUGAGUUUUCUUGGAGUUUAGGUGUUGAUUCUAUUGGUAUUUACUUCAAUACCUCUGACCUUGACUUGGAGUUUUAUGGAGAUGAUUAUACAGCAGCAAAUGGAGUAGAAGUAGAAUUUGUGACAAAGAAUAGAUAUGAAGUUUACAACAGUAGUAAUCUUAACUACAUGACUGGACUAGAUUUGUCAUGUAAUGAGUUGACCGGAGAAAUUCCAGCGGAAAUUGGAGAACUUCAAAAAGUUCGUGCAUUGAAUCUGUCCCAUAAUUACUUAUCAGGAUCCAUACCAGAGAGUUUUUCCAAUCUGAAGAUGAUAGAGAGCCUAGACCUUUGUCACAAUAAAUUGAGUGGCCUAAUUUCUCCUAAACUGACUGAGCUCAACUUUUUAUCCAACUUCAAUGUGUCGUACAACAACUUGUCAGGUCUGAUCCCAGACAAAGGACAAUUUGGCACGUUUGAUGAAAAGAGUUAUAAAGGUAAUCUCGGUCUUUGUGGUCCAACAGUUAAUAAGAGUUGCACCAGAGCAGAGGCAAAUCCAGCAACGUCGUCCUAUCAAGGAGAAGACGAAGAUGAAUCUGCAAUUGAUAUGGUGUCAUUCAAUUGGAGUUUUGGCGCAUCGUACGUCACAUUCAUGCUUGGGUUAUUUGCGAUCCUUUGGUUGAACUCUUAUUGGCGCUGGCUAUGGUUUUGUUUCAUUGAUGCAUGUAUUGAUUGGUGUUUCUAUUGGCUUGUGAAAUUUGUAUAUUUCGUCCGUGAUCGUGCUAGACCAUAGUUUACCGUAUCUUUCUGUUAUGUUUAAUUAAACUUUUAUGUAUUAAUUUUAGUCGGUUGCUUUCAACCUGGGUUCUUGAAUAAUGUAUUAAUUUU
rnacentral:lncRNA from 1 species